rnacentral:rRNA from 1 species
GACGUAGGGCGCGAGCGUUGUCCGGAUUUAUUGGGCGUAAAGAGCUUGUAGGCGGCUUGUCGCGUCGUCCGUGAAAACCUGCGGCUCAACUGCAGGCUGGCGGUCGAUACGGGCAGGCUGGAGUUCGGUAGGGGAGACUGGAAUUCCUGGUGUAGCGGUGAAAUGCGCAGAUAUCUGGAGGAAUACCGGUGGCGAAGGCGGCAUCCUGGACCGACAUUGACGCUGAACGGCGAAAGCUAGGGGAGCAAACGGG